CUAGUGAGGAAGCUGAAUUUAUUCCAGAAAGUGGCCAUAUCUGUUCUCUCUGUGCGGAUUUUGACUACCAUGAGAAGUGUUGCGACCAUUGGAUAUAGAGAGCACAAAAUGGAAAUGAUUAUCUCUACUGUGGACA